AUGCAGAUAAUCAACUGGUUUUUAAGCACAAAAUUAUUUGGACUUGAUAUACAGCGGAAAUUUACAGUCUUUUACUUAGGACCCAAGAGAUUUGGAAAUCAAAUAAUUAUACAAAAAAAAUCAGAAACAGAGAUUUCCCAUUCUGAACAUUCAGAUAGAUCUACUGUAGCAGGGCCCAAAAAAGGAAUGACUGCCUGCAAAAAACCUGGGAACCGAGAAUGUAAUCAUCACUGUAAAAAUAAACAUACAUGUGGACAUGACUGCUGUAAAACUGGAGUUGCACAGAAGUCAGAAGUGAAAGAAUCAACAAUUUCUUCAUAUUUAUCUGAUUUAAGAAAUAGAAAUGCUGUUUCAUCUCUUCCUCCAGUUAAACGUCUUAAGGUUAGUUUUAAUAACAUUUAUCCCUUGUUCUAUAGUUAUUAUUCUGUGUAUCAAUUAGAUAGGUAUCCACAGAAGUAGAGUUAUGUAAAGGCUUGACUAGGAAUAUGACUUUUAUUCAUAAUAUGGUUUCUAUAGGAAAAGUGUGAAGGAAAUGUCUGACUCAGUCAUGAGUAGGUAGCCUAUCCCUUCUCCAGCAGAUCUUCCCAACCCAGAAAUUGAACCGGGGUCUCCUGCAUAGCAGGCAGAUUCUUUACCAACUGAGCUAUCAGGGAAGCCCA
rnacentral:lncRNA from 1 species